rnacentral:rRNA from 1 species
UCGGGAAUUUUGGGCAAUGGGCGAAAGCCUGACCCAGCAACGCCGCGUGAGGGAUGAAGUAUUUCGGUAUGUAAACCUCGAAAGAAUGGGAAGAAUAAAUGACGGUACCAUUUAUAAGCUCCGGCUAACUACGUGCCAGCAGCCGCGGUAAUACGGAGGGUGCGAGCGUUAUCCGGAUUUACUGGGUUUAAAGGGUGCGUAGGUGGGCUUAUAAGUCAGUGGUGAAAUCUCCGAGCUUAACUUGGAAACUGCCGUUGAUACUAUAGGUCUUGAAUUAUCUGGAGGUAAGCGGAAUAUGUCAUGUAGCGGUGAAAUGCUUAGAUAUGACAUAGAACACCAAUUGCGAAGGCAGCUUACUACAUAUAAAUUGACGCUGAGGCACGAAAGCGUGGGGAUCAAACA